UACGAAGGGGGCUAGCGUUGCUCGGAAUUACUGGGCGUAAAGGGCGCGUAGGCGGACAUUUAAGUCAGAGGUGAAAGCCCAGGGCUCAACCUUGGAAUUGCCUUUGAUACUGGAUGUCUUGAGUUCGGGAGAGGUGAGUGGAAUGCCGAGUGUAGAGGUGAAAUUCGUAGAUAUUCGGAAGAACACCAGUGGCGAAGGCGACUUACUGGACACAUAUUGACGCUGAGGUGCGAAAGCGUGGGGAGCAAACAGG
rnacentral:rRNA from 1 species